GACGAACGCUGGCGGCGUGCCUAACACAUGCAAGUCGAACGGAAAGGCCCUGCUUUUGUGCGGUGCUCGAUUGGCGAACGGGUGAGUAACACGUGAGUAACCUGCCCUUGUCUUUGGGAUAACUUCAGGAAACUGGGGCUAAUAUCGGAUAGGAGAUCCUGCUGCAUGGUGGGCGUUGGAAAGUUUCGGCGGUUGGGGAUGGACUCGCGGCUUAUCAGCUUGUUGGUGGGGUAGUGGCUUACCAAGGCUGUGACGGGUAGCCGGCCUGUGAGGGUGGACGGGGACCAGGGGCCUAAGAGACGGCGCAGACGGGAACGGGAGGCAGCGGUGGGGAGUAUGGCACAGUGAGCGGAAGCCUGAGACGGCGGCGCCGCGUGCGGGAUGACCGCCUUCGGGUUGAAAACCGCUUUAGCCUGAGACGAAGCGGGAGUGACGGUAAUGGGUAAAGAAGCACCGGCUAACUACGUG
rnacentral:rRNA from 1 species